AUGGUGGAAUGCCUGAACUCUUCUUUAAAAAUUUCUUUUCUAUGAUUUUCAGGUGAUCAUCAAUAUAGCCAUCCGAUUUUGAGCAGUGCUACCCAGAUCCCGCCACAUGAGAAGCCACGGAUGAACAACAUCCUGACAUCAGCCACCGAGCCCUAUGACCUCUCCUUCUCCCGCUCUUUCCAGAACUUGGCCCACCUGCCCCCAUCCUACGAGUCUGCAGUAAAGACCAACCCCAGCAAGUAUUCAUCUCUGAAGAGGCUAACCGACAAGGAGGCUGACGAGUAUUACAUGAGGCGGCGGCACCUGCCUGACCUGGCUGCCCGCGGCACCCUCCCCCUCAAUGUCAUCCAGAUGUCCCAACAGAAGCCGUUGCCACGGGAACGACCCCGCCGGCCCAUCCGGGCCAUGUCCCAGGACAGGGUCCUGUCCCCGGAUCGAGGCCUGGCAGAUGAGUUCAGCAUGCCAUACGACCGCAUCCUGUCCGACGAGCAGCUGCUCUCCACGGAGCGCCUGCACUCCCAGGACCCGCUGCUGUCCCCGGAGCGGACGACCUUUCCUGAGCAGUCGCUGUCCAGGGCCAUCUCGCACACGGACGUCUUUGUGUCCACACCCGUGCUGGACCGCUACCGCAUGAGCAAGAUGCACUCUCAUCCCAGUGCCUCCAAUAACUCGUACGCCACCCUGGGCCAGAGCCAGACGGCAGCCAAGCGUCAUGCCUUUGCCUCGCGCAGACACAACACAGUGGAGCAGCUGCACUACAUCCCGGGCCACCACACCUGCUACACAGCCAGCAAGACCGAAGUGACCGUGUGA
rnacentral:lncRNA from 1 species